rnacentral:rRNA from 1 species
CCUACGGGUGGCAGCAGUGAGGAAUAUUGGUCAAUGGGCGCGAGCCUGAACCAGCCAAGUCGCGUGAGGGAGGACGGCCCUACGGGUUGUAAACCUCUUUUGCCGGGGAGCAACGGGCGUCACGUGUGGAGCCACUGAGAGUACCCGGAGAAAAAGCAUCGGCUAACUCCGUUCCAGCAGCCGCGGUAAUAAGGUGGAUGCGAGCGUUAUCCGGAUUUAUUGGGUUGAAAGGGUGGGUAGGCGGAUCGUUAAGUCCGCGGUGAAAGUUGGUGGCUCAACCAUGGAAUUGCCGUUGAAACUGGGAGGCUUGAGGGUGUUUGAGGCAGGCGGAAUGCGUGGUGUAGCGGUGAAAUGCUUAGAUAUCACGCAGAACCCCGAUGGCGAAGGCAGCUUGCCAGGCCAUAACUGACGCUGAUGCACGAAAGCGUGGGGAUCAAACAGGAUUAGAUACCCGUGUAGUC